rnacentral:rRNA from 1 species
UAGAGUUUGAUCAUGGCUCAGAUUGAACGCUGGCGGCAGGCCUAACACAUGCAAGUCGAGCGGAAACGACACUAACAAUCCUUCGGGUGCGUUAAUGGGCGUCGAGCGGCGGACGGGUGAGUAAUGCCUAGGAAAUUGCCUUGAUGUGGGGGAUAACCAUUGGAAACGAUGGCUAAUACCGCAUAAUGCCUACGGGCCAAAGAGGGGGACCUUCGGGCCUCUCGCGUCAAGAUAUGCCUAGGUGGGAUUAGCUAGUUGGUGAGGUAAUGGCUCACCAAGGCGACGAUCCCUAGCUGGUCUGAGAGGAUGAUCAGCCACACUGGAACUGAGACACGGUCCAGACUCCUACGGGAGGCAGCAGUGGGGAAUAUUGCACAAUGGGCGAAAGCCUGAUGCAGCCAUGCCGCGUGUAUGAAGAAGGCCUUCGGGUUGUAAAGUACUUUCAGUUGUGAGGAAGGGGGUAGCGUUAAUAGCGCUAUCUCUUGACGUUAGCAACAGAAGAAGCACCGGCUAACUCCGUGCCAGCAGCCGCGGUAAUACGGAGGGUGCGAGCGUUAAUCGGAAUUACUGGGCGUAAAGCGCAUGCAGGUGGUUCAUUAAGUCAGAUGUGAAAGCCCGGGGCUCAACCUCGGAACUGCAUUUGAAACUGGUGAACUAGAGUACUGUAGAGGGGGGUAGAAUUUCA